GAACCUACCUAUUGUUGCUUCGGCGGACUCGCCCCAGCCGGGACGCGAAUGGGACCAGGGGCCCCCCGGGGCCCUCAAAUUCUGGUUUUUCAGCAUCUUCUGAAUACGCCGCAAGGCAAAACAAAUGAAUCAAAACUUUCAACAACGGAUCUCUUGGCUCUGGCAUCGAUGAAGAACGCAGCGAAACGCGAUAAGUAAUGUGAAUUGCAGAAUCCAGUGAAUCAUCGAAUCUUUGAACGCACAUUGCGCCCGCCAGCAUUCUGGCGGGCAUGCCUGUUCGAGCGUCAUUUCAACCCUCGACCUCCCCUUGGGGGAGUCGGCGUUGGGGACCGGCAGCACACCGCCGGCCCUGAAAUGGAGUGGCGGCCCGUCCGCGGCGACCUCUGCGCAGUAAUACAACUCGCACCGGAACCCCGACGCGGCCACGCCGUAAAACACCCAACUUCUGAACGUUGACCUCGAAUCAGGUAGGACUACCCGCUGAACUUAAGCAUAUCAAUAAGGC
rnacentral:rRNA from 1 species